rnacentral:rRNA from 1 species
UACGUAGGGGGCUAGCGUUGUCCGGAAUCAUUGGGCGUAAAGAGCGUGUAGGCGGCCCGGUAAGUCCGCUGUGAAAGUCGGGGGCUCAACCCUCGAAUGCCGGUGGAUACUGUCGGGCUAGAGUGCGGAAGAGGCGAGUGGAAUUCCUGGUGUAGCGGUGAAAUGCGCAGAUAUCAGGAGGAACACCAAUAGCGAAGGCAGCUCGCUGGGACGGUACUGACGCUAAGGCGCGAAAGCGUGGGGAGCAAACAGG